AUGGCAUUGAAACAAGUAGUGUUUGUACUAGUUUUGCUUCCAAUCUACAGGUGUAGAGCUACAAAUAUAUCCAAAAAUUAUGACAUCGAAUUGGAAGAGCAGCUCAAGCUUCUAAACAAGCCGCCAAUCGAGACAUUCCUGCAUGUAACCAUACGGUUCGAUCAACCUGAUGUCAUUAUCAUAAAGUAUGGUAGUAGCGCAUAUAUCUCUGUCCACAACUUAACUGUAGCUCAAGGUCAAUAUAGUGCGCAUAACAUAUGGAUUUCAACUGGACCAUUGGAUCGACUCAGCAUGGUUGUAGCCGGUUGGCAGGGAAAUGGUUGGCGCAAUGGUUGCUACAACACGAACUGCGCAGGUUUUGUACAGAUGGACAGAACCGUGACUCUCAAUUAUCCAAUUCCAACAGUUUCUAAAGAUGGUGGACCCAUAUAUGAACUCAAAAUUGAUACUUCCCAGGACAGGGUGACUGGGAAUUGGUGGCUGCGCGUUCAUGACCCGCCGAUCGAUGUGGGCCAUUGGCCCAAGGCGUUAUUCAAUUUUUUACAGGAUGGAACGUCCGCCGUGGCGUGGGGGAGGAACCGCUAA